rnacentral:rRNA from 1 species
AUGGCCGUGCCGCCGCCCGCCGACGAGAGGCCGCUUGUGAUGCUAGCGCAGCCACUCUUCCCGGAGUUCGCCACGGCUCUCGCCGGCCGUUACCGGUUCGCGCUGCUAGCGGACGCCGACGCGGCGGCCGCGGCCGAGGCGAGGGCGCUGCUGGUAGGGGGGCUCCCGUCGGUCACGGCCCAGCACCUGGACGCGCUCCCGGCGCUCGAGCUCGUGGCGUGCACCUCCGUGGGCGUCGACCACGUGGACCUUGACGCGUGCCGGAGCCGCGGGCUCAGCAUGACCAACGCCGGCGCCGCGUUCGCGGCCGACUCGGCCGACUACGCCGUCGGGCUUCUUGUUGCCGUGCUCCGGAGGGUGGCCGCCGCCGACGCAUACGUCCGCAGCGGCAGGUGGACGGCCGACGGCGACUACCCUCUCACCACCAAGGUGAGCGGCAAGCGGGUGGGGAUCGUGGGGCUGGGCAACAUCGGCUCGCGCGUCGCCCGGCGUCUCGCCGCCUUCGGCUGCGCCGUCUCCUACCACUCGAGGUCGCCCAAGCCGUCGGCGCCGUACCCGUUCGUCCCGGCGCUGCGCGACCUCGCCGCCGGCAGCGACGUGCUGGUGCUCUCCUGCGCACUGACGGACGAGACCAAGCACAUGGUGAACCGGGAGGUGAUGGAGGCGCUGGGGAAGGGCGGGGUGCUGGUCAACGUGGGCCGGGGCGGCCUGGUGGACGAGCCGGAGCUGGUCAGGUGCCUCCGCGAGGGCGUCAUCGGCGGCGCCGGCCUGGACGUGUACAAGAACGAGCCGGCCGUGCCGCUGGAGCUGCUCGCCAUGGACAACGUCGUGCUGUCGGACCACAGGGCCGUGCUCACGCCGGAGUCCAUUGGCGGGGUGCUCGAGGUCGUCAUCGCCAACCUCGACGCCUUCUUCUCGGGGAGGCCGCUGGACCCGUCAUCCCUGUGCUACUACACCAUGACCACCUGCCUCCCCCACUUGAAGAGCCUGCUCCACGACCUCAACGCCGCGGUCGGGGCGCCGCCGGUGAGCUGCGUCGUGGGCGACGGCGUCAUGAGCUUCUGCGUGGACGCGGCCGCGGAUCUCGGGGUGCCGUGCGCGCUGUUCUGGACUGCCAGCGCCUGCGGCUUCAUGGGCUACCGCAACUUCCGGUUCCUCCUAGAUGAGGGCCUCACCCCUCUCAAAGACGAUGAGCAAGUGAGGAACGAGUACUUGGACACACCGAUGACGCAGGCACGCGGGAUGAGCAAGCACAUGCGCCUUCGAGACUUCUCGUCCUUCGUCCGCACGAUGGACCGCAGCGACAUCCUGUUCAACUUCCUGCUGCACGAGGUCGAGCAGUCGGACCGCGCGACUGCCGUCAUCCUCAACACCUUUGAGGAGCUGGAGCAGACGGCGCUCGACGCCAUGCGCGCCAUCCUCCCCUUGCCCGUCUACACCAUCGGCCCGCUUAACUUCCUCACCGAGCAGCUGGUCUCGGAAGGCGAUCUCGCCGGGAUACGCUCCAGCCUCUGGAGAGAAGACCAGUCCUGCCUCGAGUGGCUUCAGGGCAGGGAGCCCCGGUCCGUGGUGUACGUCAACUACGGGAGCGUGACCACCAUGUCCAAGCAGGAGCUGGUGGAGUUCGCGUGGGGGCUGGCCAACUGCGGCUGCGACUUCCUCUGGAUCGUGAGGAACGACCUGGUGAAGGGCGAUGCCGCCGUGCUGCCUCCCGAGUUCCUCGAGGCCACCAAGGGUAGGUGCCUCCUAGCGAGCUGGUGCGAGCAGGAGGCGGUGAUGCGUCACGAGGCGGUGGGCGCCUUCCUGACGCACUGCGGGUGGAACUCGAUGAUGGAGGGGCUCGGCGCCGGGGUGCCGAUGCUUUGUUGGCCCUUCUUCGCCGAGCAGCAGACCAACAGCCGGUACGCUUGCGUGGAAUGGCGCGUCGGGAUGGAGGUCGGCGACGACGUGCGCCGGGAGGUGGUCGAGGCGAGGAUAAGGGAGGUGAUGGGUGAUGGCGAGGUGGGGAAGGAGAUGAGACGGAGGGCGAUGGAGUGGAAGGAGGUCACUUCUCGCUCAACCGUGCAACCCGGUGGCAGGUCGUUGGCCAACCUUGAGACUCUGCUCAAGGAUGUACUGAAGUGA